CCCAACGACCCAGAGUUUCUGCUGUCCAGCUUCUUGGCUGACAUCAAGCCAGUUCCUUGGGUCCGGCCGACACCUGCUUCACAUGUCCAGUCACCACUCUGUCCAACAUCCAUCUAUGCUGGACAGCAGCAACCUUCUGUUCCCGCUGGGCAGCAGAAACCUCCUUUUCGCUUCCACUGGUCCCACUUACAGCUGGGGGCAUCAAUUGUUGGCUGCCCUCCCUAGUCUCAAGUAUCUGUAGCUGUGUUCCAGCGGGGUCUCGUCUCUGUUUUUUCUGCACCUGUCUUGUCAGUGUUGGUUGUCAAUUUGUCUUCUUUUCUUUUUGGAGUUCUAUUCCAUUUUUCCAGUGUCCUUGCCUGCUGUUUCCCUGCCUUCUUUGUUGGCUGUAACCUUCUCAAUUAAAUCCUUGCAUGUCUGA